rnacentral:rRNA from 1 species
UACGUAGGGGGCAAGCGUUGUCCGGAAUUAUUGGGCGUAAAAGCGCGUGUAGGCGGCCAGAUAAGUCCGCUGUGAAAUCUCGAGGCUCAACUUCGAGCUGUCGGUGGAAACUGUCUGGCUAGAGUCCGGAAGAGGAGAAUGGAAUUCCUGGUGUAGCGGUGAAAUUCGUAGAUAUUCGCAAGAACACCAGUGGCGAAGGCGGCUCACUGGCCCGGAACUGACGCUGAGGUGCGAAAGCGUGGGGAGCAAACAGG